AGCUCAAAUUUGAAAUCUGGCUCUUUCAGGGUCCGAGUUGUAAUUUAAAGAAGCGUUUUCGGUGGCAGCCUGGGUAUAAAUCCUUUGGAAUAGGGUAUCAUAGAGGGUGAGAAUCCCGUCUUUGACCUAGUGCAUGCUACUAUGUGAUACGUUUUCAAA
rnacentral:rRNA from 1 species